CCUACCACUGGGCCAUCGUUACCAGGACCGGACUCUACAAAACCACAAAGAAAAGAAACAAUGCUGCCUAAAAAAAAGAGAAAAAAAAGGUAACAAACACAAAAAAAACUACAAACAACAAACUUAAAGAACUAAACAAAAAUUCAUACAGAAAACAAAUCACCGUUUUAAAAACAACGAGGCCCACAUACAAAACGAAAAUACACUCGCAACAUUUUUAAACAGAUUCUAAGAAGUUGUUUCGGAACUAGUAUACGUUUCAUGGAACUAGUGGAUAAUGCCUUUAGGAAGGCCUCUUUACUGCCACUUUUUCCCGCUGCGAACUGCUGGCUGCCAUGUUACCGCCAACUGCUAUUGAAAAUAAAUUGACUAUUGUCAUCUCGUAUUCAUUUAAUCCGGAUUAUCUACAUGGCGUUGCUCUUGCGGAAUGGGCUAAAGGACUGUUAAAGUUGCAUUCAAAAACCUUUUAUUUGGGAAAAUAUACUAGAGAUCAGGAUUCACUAAGUUAUUACAUCAUGCUAGAGAUGUUUAGUUUUAUUUUAAAUGAUUGCGUUAAAUAUAAACAUUAGAGGAUAAAUACUUGUUGACUUCCAAAAUAUUCCUUGUUAUUCACCUACCUUUGGGGGUAUAGUGAUGGCUUUUUGUUAUUGUUUUAAAAACGACUGCUAAAGUUGAAAAAACAAACUGGACAAAUUAUUUUGCCAUGGAAUAAUCCAUAAUAGAAAAAAGUAGACGCCCAUCGGUAGUGACUAGUCGAUGCCCUCUCAAGUAAAGGGCAUCAUUAAGCACUGAAAAUACUGUGGAAUUUUAGAACUUAAACUACUUUAAUGCUGAAAACAAAGUAUCCCUCAUAACAAUCGUAAUCUGUCGCAGAGAAAAAGAUGAACUCUCUGCAAAUUAUUUGCAUGAUUUGCCAUUGGCAGUACAAAAUGUUUAAGUAACAACACGAUCAAGAACAGCAGUUGCCAAAAUAAAUUUUAGUUUAGACAAAGGGGGUGCUGAUGCCACUACAGAUUCGAAUUGUCUCAACUAUCUACUUGUUAAAGGUAGCCUGGAUCCACAACAGCCGCCAAACGAGAUGAAAAUCAAACUGAGAUUGUCCGAAAGAUGUCGUUCCUUGCUUCCUUGGACGAAGAUCUACUGGCUA